UUGAAAAAGUUGGUGGUGAAAUCCCAGAGCUUAACUCUGGAACUGCCAUCAAAACUUUUCAGCUAGAGUAUGAUAGAGGAAAGCAGAAUUUCUAGUGUAGAGGUGAAAUUCGUAGAUAUUAGAAAGAAUACCAAUUGCGAAGGCAGCUUUCUGGAUCAUUACUGACACUGAGGAACGAAAGCAUGGGUAGCGAAGAGGAUUAGAUACCCUCGUAGUCCAUGCCGUAAACGAUGUGUGUUAGACGUUGGAAACUUAUUUUCAGUGUCGCAGCGAAAGCGAUAAACACACCGCCUGGGGAGUACGACCGCAAGGUUAAAACUCAAAUGAAUUGACGGGGACCCGCACAAGUAGUGGAGCAUGUGGUUUAAUUCGAAGAUACGCGCAGAACCUUACCAACACUUGACAUGUUCGUCGCGACUUUAAGAGAUUAAAGUUUUCGGUUCGGCCGGACGAAACACAGGUGCUGCAUGGCUGUCGUCAGCUCGUGUCGUGAGAUGUUGGGUUAAGUCCCGCAACGAGCGCAACCCUCACUUUUAGUUGCCAUCAUUAAGUUGGGCACUCUGAAAGAACUGCCAGUGAUAAGCUGGAGGAAGGUGGGGAUGACGUCAAGUCCUCAUGGCCCUUACGUGUUGGGCUACACACGUGCUACAAUGGUAUCUACAACAGGAAGCAAGACCGCGAGGUCAAGCAAAUCCUUAAAAGAUACCUCAGUUCGGAUUGCACUCUGCAACUCGAGUGCAUGAAGCUG
rnacentral:rRNA from 1 species